ACAAACUUGGUCAUUUAGAGGAAGUAAAAGUCGUAACAAGGUUUCCGUAGGUGAACCUGCGGAAGGAUCAUUACCAAUCUUUCGCGGGGUUCUCGUGAUCCCGCGAAGGUCCAGUAUUUAAAACCCAACUCAUAAUAAUGUAAGCAUACCGUAUCAAUCAUGAUAUAUGUAAUUUAAAGAUCACUUUCAACAACGGAUCUCUUGGCUCUCUUAGAGGAAGUAAAAGUCGUAACAAGGUUUCCGUAGGUGAACCUGCGGAAGGAUCAUUACCAAUCUUUCGCGGGGUUCUCGUGAUCCCGCGAAGGUCCAGUAUUUAAAACCCAACUCAUAAUAAUGUAAGCAUACCGUAUCAAUCAUGAUAUAUGUAAUUUAAAGAUCACUUUCAACAACGGAUCUCUUGGCUCUCGCAUCGAUGAAGAACGCAGC
rnacentral:misc_RNA from 1 species